rnacentral:rRNA from 1 species
UUUGCUGACGAGUGGCGGACGGGUGAGUAAUGUCUGGGAAACUGCCUGAUGGAGGGGGAUAACUACUGGAAACGGUAGCUAAUACCGCAUAACGUCGCAAGACCAAAGAGGGGGACCUUCGGGCCUCUUGCCAUCGGAUGUGCCCAGAUGGGAUUAGCUAGUAGGUGGGGUAACGGCUCACCUAGGCGACGAUCCCUAGCUGGUCUGAGAGGAUGACCAGCCACACUGGAACUGAGACACGGUCCAGACUCCUACGGGAGGCAGCAGUGGGGAAUAUUGCACAAUGGGCGCAAGCCUGAUGCAGCCAUGCCGCGUGUAUGAAGAAGGCCUUCGGGUUGUAAAGUACUUUCAGCGGGGAGGAAGGGAGUAAAGUUAAUACCUUUGCUCAUUGACGUUACCCGCAGAAGAAGCACCGGCUAACUCCGUGCCAGCAGCCGCGGUAAUACGGAGGGUGCAAGCGUUAAUCGGAAUUACUGGGCGUAAAGCGCACGCAGGCGGUUUGUUAAGUCAGAUGU